GCGAGCGGGAAAGAGAGAGAGCAGUUGGAGAGCGUAAGUUAAGAUACUGAGAGUGACGCAGUUAUUGAAGUUGCGGCGCGAGCACUAUUUCGCGUAUUACCCAAGACACAACUUCUCCCAGGCUGCUGCCAUUUCGCGAGAGCACGAACGACUAUAAAGUUGACAAAACAUUUUGGCUGUCUCAUACAAGGAACGUAGUUGGAUUUCACCGGGGAAAAGUGUGGCUGUUGAACCCUUUCAGUGGGAAAAUGAUUAGCGAGGCCACGCCCACCACGAAGCAGCUGCACCAAAGCAAUGACUCACCCGUUGUCCUUGAAAUGGCUCAACUCCCAACAGACGCAGACACACCCCACGCAUCACCAUCCACCGCGCUUGGUCAAGCUCUUAACUGCUGCAUCAGGACCAUAACUGAUGAAAUAUGGAUGUGCAUAAAAAGAGAAGCAAGCUGAGAGGGAAUGGAGUGCACCAUUUGGCUCCCUUGAUCACGUCUUGGCUGGAUUUGACUUUGGAGUCAGCCAGUCCUUCCUCAAAUGUCUCCAGUUGGUUCAAAAAUGCUGCUGCUUGCCUCUCAAAUGUAACACAAAAGAGGGAGCACAUGACUCCUAUUCUGACCUCUCUCCACUGGCUGCCUUUGCACUUUACUCCCCUUGUUUUAGUGUCUUUUUUGAAUUUGUAUUUUUUAUUUUUACUUUGUUAUUGCUUUAUUGUUCGUGAAUGAUGUUGACGUCUUGUUAGAAUUGAAUCUGACAUUUGGUCAUUGCUACAUCAUUGGAAUGCCAUUCCAACUAAUAAAGGUCUUUAUGCUGCAAUUCAAUUCAUUGUGCUGCUCCUUUUGGUGUGUAUAAUUCAGUCAUUCAGACAAAUGAAUAGUUUCACAACUACUGUCACUCAGUAAGAUGCAGUAAUAUUAGUCAUUUUUUUGUAGACGAUAAAGAAUAUAUGCAUGUAUUGUUAUAAUAUCCAUCUACAGGUGAUGCUCCAUCAUUUAAAACCCCAACGAUCGAUGCUAAUUGUUAGCAUGUCAAUGGAAUUUUCCAUUAUACAGUAUUUUAGCAUUAAGUUAGCGGGCCGUUCUUAAGGCAAAGUUGUUGUUUUAAAAAUACGUGUAACUGUCUUUUGUUUAGUUUGACAGCAAACUUCAACUGGGAGUGGCAUUAAACAGC